GACGAACGCUGGCGGCGUGCUUAACACAUGCAAGUCGAGCGGAAAGGCCCUUCGGGGUACUCGAGCGGCGAACGGGUGAGUAACACGUGAGUAACCUGCCCCAGACUUUGGGAUAACCCUCGGAAACGGGGGCUAAUACCGGAUACGACACAGCUUCGCAUGGGGUCUGUGUGGAAAGAUUUUCGGUUUGGGAUGGGCUCGCGGCCUAUCAGCUUGUUGGUGGGGUGAUGGCCUACCAAGGCGACGACGGGUAGCCGGCCUGAGAGGGCGACCGGCCACACUGGGACUGAGACACGGCCCAGACUCCUACGGGAGGCAGCAGUGGGGAAUAUUGCACAAUGGGCGGAAGCCUGAUGCAGCGACGCCGCGUGAGGGAUGACGGCCUUCGGGUUGUAAACCUCUUUCAGCAGGGACGAAGCGUAAGUGACGGUACCUGCAGAAGAAGCGCCGGCCAACUACGUG
rnacentral:rRNA from 1 species